GUGAAAUGUACUGGAAGAGGCAGAGCUUCCCCUGCUGAAGUUCUCACCCAAAGUUGCCCACCAGAUGAUAUGAAACAUGAAUGGUUGUUCACUCUGCACAAAAAGAGAAACAAAAGCAUAUUCUGAAGGGAGGCUUUGUCACCCCACUCCUCUGCUGGGACCACAGGAGCUUCAGUAUUGCAUAAGCAACCUCUUCCACCUACAAAAGCAGCCCCUGCUUGCAACAGAGCAGAAGCUGGGAGGUAUCAAGCCUGAGAAUGCUCCAGCCAUGGCCUUUCAUCUGUGCCAUCUUGGUCCCUGGCUCACCCCUUCGUUGAUCUGAAGCAGUUAUGUGCUCAGUGGCUAAAGUGACACCUUGAAAUGCAGAGAAAGGAGAGGUAAAUGUAUUAUUUAGCUGUAGGAGCAGCUAUUUUUAAGGAGCAUAACAUGUAAAACCUUAAUAAAGAAAAGAUAUUUCA